rnacentral:rRNA from 1 species
AUUGAACGCUGGCGGCAUGCCUUACACAUGCAAGUCGAACGGCAGCACGGGAGCAAUCCUGGUGGCGAGUGGCGAACGGGUGAGUAAAGUAUCGGAACGUGCCCAGUCGUGGGGGAUAACGUAGCGAAAGUUACGCUAAUACCGUAUACGAUCUAUGGAUGAAAGCGGGGGAUCGCAAGACCUCGCGCGAUUGGAGCGGCCGAUAUCAGAUUAGGUAGUUGGUGGGGUAAAGGCUCACCAAGCCGACGAUCUGUAGCUGGUCUGAGAGGACGACCAGCCACCCUGGGGCUGAGACACGGCCCGGACUCCUACGGGAGGCAGCAGUGGGGAAUUUUGGACAAUGGGCGAAAGCCUGAUCCAGCCAUGCCGCGUGCAGGAUGAAGGCCUUCGGGUUGUAAACUGCUUUUGUACGGAACGAAAAGGUUUGGCCUAAUAAGCUGAGCUCAUGACGGUACCGUAAGAAUAAGCACCGGCUAACUACGUGCCAGCAGCCGCCGUAA